UGGGGAAUCUUGCACAAUGGGGGAAACCCUGAUGCAGCGACGCCGCGUGAGCGAUGAAGCCCUUCGGGGUGUAAAGCUCUUUCGUCAGGGAAGAUAAUGACGGUACCUGGAGAAGCAGCUGCGGCUAACUACGUGCCAGCAGCCGCGGUAAUACGUAGGCAGCAAGCGUUGUUCGGAGUUACUGGGCGUAAAGGGUGCGUAGGCGGCUAUUUAAGUUUGGUGUGAAAUCUCCCGGCUCAACCGGGAGGGUGCGCCGAAUACUGAGUGGCUAGAGUGCGGGAGAGGAAAGUGGAAUUCCUGGUGUAGCGGUGAAAUGCGUAGAUAUCAGGAGGAACACCGGUGGUGUAAACGGCUUUCUGGACCGUAACUGACGCUGAGGCACGAAAGCGUGGGUAGCAAACAGGAUUAGAUACCCCCGUAGUCC
rnacentral:rRNA from 1 species